rnacentral:rRNA from 1 species
AUUGGAGAAAGAAACUUUUACUAGGAGCUAUAGAGAAAAGUACCGUAAAGGAAAGAUGAAAGACACAUUAAAAGCAUAAAUAAGCAAAGAUUAAACCNUGUACCUUUUGCAUAAUGAGUUAACUAGAAAUAACCUAACUAAGAGAACUUUAGCUAGAAACCCCGAAACCAAAUGAACUACCUAAAAGCAAUUUUAAGAAUGAACCCGUCUAUGUAGCAAAAUAGUGGGAUGACUUUUAGGUAGAGGCGAAAAACCUAGCGAACUUGGUGAUAGCUGGUUACCCAACAAUGAAUUUUAGUUCAACUUUAAGUUUACCAUAUAAAUCCAAAUCUAAAUGUAAACUUCAAAUAUAGCCUAAAGAGGGACAGCUCUUUAGGAAUGGAAGCAACCUUUAAUAGGGAAGAAGCCUAUAACACUUAAAUCAUUGUUAGCUUAAAAGCAGCCAUUAAUAAAGAAAGUGUUCAAGCUCAACACUUAAAAUACCACAAUACUAAUAAUUUAAGGCAACUUCCUAUAGUCAUAAUCUGAUAAUCUAUUAAUAUAUAGAUGAAAUACUGUUAAUAUGAGUAACAAGAAUUUUAUUCUCCAGGUAUAAGCCUAUAACAACUCGGAUAACCAUUGUUAGUUAACAACUAUAUAGAUAAUUACUCUACAUAUAAAAUAUAUCUACCACAACAUGUUAACCCAACACAGGAGUGCAUAAUGGAAAGAUUAAAAGAAAUAAAAGGAACUCGGCAAACACGAUCCCCGCCUGUUAAACAAAAUCAUCACCUCUAGCAUAUUAAGUAUUAGAAAUACUGCCUGCCCAUUGACUAACGUUAAAUGACCGCGGUAUCCUGACGGUGCAAAGGUAGCAUAGUCACUUGUUCCUUAAUUAGGGACUGAAAUGAAUGGCUUAACGAGGGUUCACCUGUCUUGUAUUUCUUUCUUUCUUUUUUUUUUUUUGAACAUUAGUGUUUCGCCUGCAUGCAUGUCUGUGUGAGGGGGUUGGGACCCUGGAACUGGAGUUACAGUUGUGAGGUACCAUGUGGGUACUGGGAAUUGGACCUGGGUCCUUUGGAAGAGCAGUCGGUGCUCUUAACCUCAGAGCCAUCUCUCCAGCCCUGUCUCUUAUUUCUACUCAGUGAAACUGACCUUCCCGUGAAGAGGCGGGAAAGACCCUAUGACGCUUUAACUUACUAGCUUAAUUUUAUACAAAUUCACCUAUUGGUCUAACACCUAAAAAUAUAAACUAGUAAUUUUGGUUGGGGUGACCUCGGAGCAUAAAAAACCUCUAAAUGAUUUUAACCUAGACACACAAGUCUAAGUAAUCAUAAUCUUAUUGACCCAAAACUUUUUGAUCAACGAACCAAGUUACCCUACGGAUAAGAGCGCAGUCCUAUUCAAGAGUCCGUAUCGACAAUUAGGAUUUACGACCUCGAUGUUGGAUCAGGACAUCCCAAUGAUGUAGAAGCUAUUAAUGGUUCAUUUGUUCAACGAUUAAAGUCCUACGUGAUCUGAGUUCAGAUGGAAGCAAUCCAGGUUGGUUUCUAUCUAAUUUACGAUUUCUCCCAGUACGAAAGGAUAAGAGAAAUGGAGCCUCCUUACAUGAAGUGCUCCGAAAUUAAUCUUUGAAAUUAUCUCAACUUUGUAAAUUCGGACCACAACUACCCUAGACAAGGGUAAAAUUAGGGUGGCAGAGUCAGGAAAUUGCGUAAGGCUUAAAACCUAGUUCCCAGAGGUUCAAAUCC